rnacentral:rRNA from 1 species
CCUACGGGAGGCAGCAGUGAGGAAUAUUGGUCAAUGGACGAGAGUCUGAACCAGCCAAGUAGCGUGAAGGAUGACUGCCCUAUGGGUUGUAAACUUCUUUUAUAAAGGAAUAAAACGAGGCACGUGUGCCUUUUUUCAUGUACUUUAUGAAUAAGGAUCGGCUAACUCCGUGCCAGCAGCCGCGGUAAUACGGAGGAUCCGAGCGUUAUCCGGAGUUAUUGGGUUUAAAGGGAGCGUAGAUGGGUUGUUAAGUCAGUUGUGAAAGUUUGCGGCUCAACCGUAAAAUUGCAAUUGAUACUGGCAGUCUUGAGUACAGUUGAGGUAGGCGGAAUUCGUGGUGUAGCGGUGAAAUGCUUAGAUAUCACGAAGAACCCCGAUUGCGAAGGCAGCUUACUAAACUGUGACUGACAUUGAUGCUCGAAAGUGUGGGUAUCAAACAGGAGUAGAUACCCGGGUAGUC